UAGAAUGUGAAAUGCUGGGGAAAGCUUC
rnacentral:piRNA from 1 species